rnacentral:rRNA from 1 species
GACGAACGCUGGCGGCGUGCUUAACACAUGCAAGUCGAACGGAAAGGCCCUGCUUGCAGGGUACUCGAGUGGCGAACGGGUGAGUAACACGUGGGUGAUCUGCCCUGCACUUCGGGAUAAGCCUGGGAAACUGGGUCUAAUACCGGAUAGGAGCCAUUUUUAGUGUGAUGGUUGGAAAGUUUUUUCGGUGUAGGAUGAGCUCGCGGCCUAUCAGCUUGUUGGUGGGGUAAUGGCCUACCAAGGCGGCGACGGGUAGCCGGCCUGAGAGGGUGGACGGCCACAUUGGGACUGAGAUACGGCCCAGACUCCUACGGGAGGCAGCAGUGGGGAAUAUUGCACGAUGGGCGCAAGCCUGAUGCAGCGACGCCGCGUGGGGGAUGACUGCCUUCGGGUUGUAAACUCCUUUCGCUAGGGACGAAGCUUUUUGUGACGGUACCUAGAUAAGAAGCACCGGCUAACUACGUG